AGCAGCCGCGGUAAUUCCAGCUCCAAUAGCGUAUAUUAAAGUUGUUGCAGUUAAAAAGCUCGUAGUUGAAUUUCGGGAUCAGUAUGUUGGUCGUGCCUCGGUACGUACUAGCAUAUUGGUUUCUCCUUUCUGAAGAACCAUGAUGUCAUUUAUUUGGUGUCGUGGGGAAUCAGGACUGUUACUUUGAAAAAUUAGGGUGUUUAAAGCAGGCUCACGCUUGAAUACAUUAGCAUGGAAUAAUGAAAUAGGACGUUUGAUUCUAUUUUGUUGGUUUCUAGGAUCGACGUAAUGAUUAAUAGGGAUAGUUGGGGGCAUUAGUAUUCAAUUGUCAGAGGUGAAAUUCUUGGAUUUAUUGAAGACUAACUACUGCGAAAGCAUUUGCCAAGGAUGUUUUCAUUAAUCAAGAACGAAAGUUAGGGGAUCGAAGACGAUCAGAUACCGUCGUAGUCUUAACCAUAAACUAUGCCGACUAGGGAUCGGAUG
rnacentral:sRNA from 1 species